ensembl:sense_intronic Gm43727 predicted gene 43727
UACCGUUUGUGUCUAGUUUUGUUGUGGACACUAUGUGGCCUGUUAAGGUUUUAUUUCCUUCAUACAUACCACAUUUUAUAUUUUCAUUAAUCAGUUGGGGGACAUUUGAGCCCUUUCUACUUUCUGGCUACUGUGAAUAAAUUGUUGUAAGCACUCAUCAGCAAAUUUUGUGUUAACAUAUGUUUCCAUUUUUGGUGUAUAUUAGAAAAAUUGAUCUUCUGAGACCUCCCGCCAUUGUAUCUAUAACUGUCAGUGUGGCUGCCGAGGACUUUCCAGAGUGCACACUGGAAAUCCCACCUGCAGUGUCAGAGAAUUCUGGUUUUCCACAUCUUUUUUGAUGCCUGUUGUCUGAUGUUGUCCAUCACACUGGAAGGGAAGUGUUCCUGGGCUUGACUUCCAUUUCUAUAUUGAUUAGUGAUUAAACACCACUUCAUUUUGACAUCGGCUGUUGUCCAGCUUCUGUGGAGGCAUACAUAUUUUGCAUUUGCUUUUAUUUUUAUUUUUCCUUUUUUCUUUUUUUCUUCUUUCUCCUCUUCUUCCUCCUUUUCCUCCUCUUCCUCCUUCUCCUCCCCCUCCCCCCUUUUGAGACAGCUCUGGAACUCACUUUGAAGAGCAAGCUGGCUUCAAAGUCAGGGUUCUGCCUGCCUUUGUCUCUGUCUCCCUAGUGCUGGGGUCAGAGGUGUGCUGGCUGAGGCAUAGGCUUUAAGUGACUUGUUUUUAUAUUAUUGACUUGCGGUCUAUCAUUGAUUAUGGAUGCUAGUUUCACAUCAGAAACAUGAGCUGCAAAGUUGCCUCAAUUUUCCGGCUUGUCUUUUGAUCUCAUAUUGAUAUGCCGAGAAGCACUAACAUUUUUGAUUGGGUCCAGCUGCCCAUUGUCGUCUUUGCUUUUCAUGGAAAUGAUUCAUAUCUAAGAAGCCAUUGCCGAGUUUGUGAUCUUGUAUACCUACACUUUUGCUUUUUUCUAGUUCUAGCUUUUACAUUUCAGACAGUGAUCCAUUUUGAGUUAAUCUGGGUAUAUGAUGCAAGGGAAGGCCACACUAUUAAGAAUCAAGUUUGACUUCAGUUUCUAGGAUGACCUCUCUCAAAUCCUCCAUAUCCUAGACAUAGAACCUAGGGGAGGACAGAGUUUCCUUUAAAAGUGAUUACAUUUAAUUAAACAAAUACCUAAGUUAGAGUGGCAUCUGCCAUUGGGCCUCUCUGUCCCUUGUGGAACUCCUUCCUUACAAUUUGGUUUAUAAAUUGUCUUUGCCCCAAGUGUGGGGAACUCAGAGAUGGACACAGACAAAGGAUAAUGAGAGAUAAUCAUAGUUAGUGUAAAAGAAAACCAAUGUAGAUUGGAAGUUCAGCUGUCUUACACUCUCAGUGCACAUCUGUUUGCUUAUAAAGCCAACAUGGAGAGACAUGGGCUGAGAGGUGGAGAGAUGUGGAUCUUCCCAGGACACUGCUUGGGCUUGGGAAAGCACAGUCAGAGGUGCAAGACAGGCGGAGCUGAGUUGGUGGUCCAACGGCCUGUGAUGUGGCCUGGGAUGGGCUGUCUGGUUCUUAGGCUCUUGGACAUCCAGGCGCUGCUGGGAGCUGUGGAAUAGCUGAGAACAGAAUCUUGGCCUGUGGCUGGAUCUAGCUCAGGGCCAGGGGAAAAUCAAGGAACUCUGACUGGUCCCACCAUGAUUGUCCUUGGCUUGACAGCAGGCUGCAGGCUUGGCUUAGACUUGGUAGUUGUGGCUGGGAGCGUAGAGCAGCCUUCUAAGGGAGACUAGACAGCUGCUCUGUAGGCAAAGGCUAUCUCCGUGGCUCCCACAGCAGAUCCUGAUGAAAAGAGACAGUUCAUGGUUUUAAGGCAUUUAUUGUCAUCAUGGAAAGUGAAUGUGUAAAACCAUACCCUACUUCUCAGGGUGGGCCUUAGGUUAAAUACCUUUUACAGGGAGGAAUGUCUGGGGAGGAAAGCUUAUUGGCUAAGCCCUCCAGGUCUCUAUAUACUUCAUUAGUAUGGAGAUCUGUCUUGAGCCUACGUGACCAGAGGUCAUGUCCUCUACGUGUGGAGGGGCUUGGGGCAUUACCCUUAUGUUACUGAUGGCCACAAAUCUAUGGGGGCUGCAGAUAGUGACAGGGACCUGGUGCCCAGGAACAGGCAAAGCUCCUACUGUUUCUUCGGGUCUCUGGGACUUCUAGCCUUAGCUCAACCAGGGACCAGGCUACUUUUCAUGGACACACACACACACACACACACACACCCAGCAGCUCAGGAGACAAAUCAUGUUUUCUGCCUUCAUGGAUUUGACCUUAACUUGGUCAUUUUGUCAAAUUCAUCGUUUCAUAGAGAAGAAAACUGAAGCCCAGAUAAGCUGUAAAAUGUGCCCACAGUUGUAUAAUAGGUUGGCAAAGCUUAUCCUGAUUUCCGUAUUCUUGCUGUGUUAUGCCAUUUCAUGUAGCCAAUUCAUGGCUUCAUGGGUAAAGACAGAUGUCCUUAGUGUUAAAAUAAUGUUUUACUGAUGUAAAGAAUGUCAACAGAUGCAAUUUAUAAGAAGCUGUAUAUCAGUUUUUCCAUGCUUUGUAGCGAAUAUGCAUAACAGAAAUGUUUAUAACACAAAUUAGUAUUUUACAUAAAGAUGUAUAAACUCACAUUAUUAAGUAAAAAGCUUAUACCUUAGAGG